GGGGAUGAAAGGUCUCGACGGAAGAGGCUGGUCCCGGAUGGCGAGCCGAGAGGCGCCGACCUCGUAAAAUCAGCGCACCACACAAGUGCCAACCGCACACAAUAUGCUGCUCUCCCCCUGGCUGCCUAGUCGGAGGGAAGCACACCUGACCUCUUGAGAGGUCACGUCCACUUCUCCCGCUGGCCGACCGGUGAGGGGCUGGGCGACACAAAGUCGGCCUGCCGUCCGAGAAGCCGCGGCUCGGACGAAAGACCAAAGCGGCUGGCCGGAGGGUGACUUGGGUCACCUGUGGCCCCUCCGGCGAGAAUGACAGGUGACUACGCUCGUAGAAAUCCGAGGGCUUAAUCUUCCGGACGCGGGUUCGAUUCCCGCCAUCUCCACCA
rnacentral:tmRNA from 1 species